rnacentral:rRNA from 1 species
CCUACAGGGCGCAGCAGUGGGGAAUAUUGGGCAAUGGGCGCAAGCCUGACCCAGCAACGCCGCGUGAAGGAAGAAGGCUUUCGGGUUGUAAACUUCUUUUGUAAGGGAGGAGUAGAAGACGUUACCGGACGAAUAAGCCACGGCUAACUACGUGCCAGCAGCCGGGGUAAUACGUAGGUGGCAAGCGUUGUCCGGAUUUACUGGGUGUAAAGGGCGGGUAGCCGGGUUGACAAGUCAGAGGUGAAAUCCUGCGGCUUAACCGCAGAACUGCAUUUGAAACUGUUGAUCUUGAGUACUGGAGAGGCAGAUGGAAUUCCAAGUGUAGCGGUGAAAUGCGUAGAUAUUAGGAGGAACACCAGUGGCGAAGGCGGUCUGCUGGACAGCAACUGACGGUGAGGCGCGAAAGCGUGGGGAGCAAACAGGAUUAGAUACCCCAGUAGUC